rnacentral:rRNA from 1 species
UGGCGGCGUGCUUAACACAUGCAAGUCGAACGAUGAAGCCUUUCGGGGUGGAUUAGUGGCGAACGGGUGAGUAACACGUGGGCAAUCUGCCCUUCACUCUGGGACAAGCCCUGGAAACGGGGUCUAAUACCGGAUAACACUCUGUCCCGCAUGGGACGGGGUUAAAAGCUCCGGCGGUGAAGGAUGAGCCCGCGGCCUAUCAGCUUGUUGGUGGGGUAAUGGCCUACCAAGGCGACGACGGGUAGCCGGCCUGAGAGGGCGACCGGCCACACUGGGACUGAGACACGGCCCAGACUCCUACGGGAGGCAGCAGUGGGGAAUAUUGCACAAUGGGCGAAAGCCUGAUGCAGCGACGCCGCGUGAGGGAUGACGGCCUUCGGGUUGUAAACCUCUUUCAGCAGGGAAGAAGCGAAAGUGACGGUACCUGCAGAAGAAGCGCCGGCUAACUACGUGCCAGCAGCCGCGGUAAUACGUAGGGCGCAAGCGUUGUCCGGAAUUAUUGGGCGUAAAGAGCUCGUAGGCGGCUUGUCACGUCGGAUGUGAAAGCCCGGGGCUUAACCCCGGGUCUGCAUUCGAUACGGGCUAGCUAGAGUGUGGUAGGGGAGAUCGGAAUUCCUGGUGUAGCGGUGAAAUGCGCAGAUAUCAGGAGGAACACCGGUGGCGAAGGCGGAUCUCUGGGCCAUUACUGACGCUGAGGAGCGAAAGCGUGGGGAGCGAACAGGAUUAGAUACCCUGGUAGUCCACGCCGUAAACGUUGGGAACUAGGUGUUGGCGACAUUCCACGUCGUCGGUGCCGCAGCUAACGCA